CACGUAGGGAGCAAGCGUUGUCCGGAUUUAUUGGGCGUAAAGAGCUCGUAGGUGGUUCGGUAAGUCAGGUGUGAAACCUCCAGGCUCAACCUGGAGACGCCACUUGAUACUGCUGUGACUGGAGUCCGGUAGGGGAGCGUGGAAUUCCUGGUGUAGCGGUGAAAUGCGCAGAUAUCAGGAGGAACACCGGUGGCGAAGGCGGGUCUCUGGGCAGUAACUGACGCUGAGGAGCGAAAGCGUGGGGAGCGAACAGG
rnacentral:rRNA from 1 species